rnacentral:rRNA from 1 species
GACGAACGCUGGCGGCGUGCUUAACACAUGCAAGUCGAACGGAAAGGCCCUGCUUUUGUGGUGUGCUCGAGUGGCGAACGGGUGAGUAACACGUGAGUAACCUGCCCUUGACUUUGGGAUAACUUCAGGAAACUGGGGCUAAUACCGUAUAGGAGCUCCUGCUGCAUGGUGGGGUUUGGAAAGUUUCGGCGGUUGGGGAUGGACUCGCGGCUUAUCAGCUUGUUGGUGGGGUAGUGGCUUACCAAGGCUUUGACGGGUAGCCGGCCUGAGAGGGUGACCGGCCACAUUGGGACUGAGAUACGGCCCAGACUCCUACGGGAGGCAGCAGUGGGGAAUAUUGCACAAUGGGCGGAAGCCUGAUGCAGCAACGCCGCGUGCGGGAUGACGGCCUUCGGGUUGUAAACCGCUUUCGCCUGUGACGAAGCGUGAGUGACGGUAAUGGGUAAAGAAGCACCGGCUAACUACGUG